rnacentral:rRNA from 2 species
UGGGGAAUAUUGCACAAUGGGCGCAAGCCUGAUGCAGCGAUGCCGCGUGAGGGAAGAAGGUUUUCGGAUUGUAAACCUCUGUCUUUAGGGACGAUAAUGACGGUACCUAAGAAGGAAGCUCCGGCUAACUACGUGCCAGCAGCCGCGGUAAUACGUAGGGAGCAAGCGUUAUCCGGAAUUACUGGGUGUAAAGGGAGUGUAGGCGGGACUGCAAGUCAGAUGUGAAAAUUAUGGGCUCAACUCAUAACCUGCAUUUGAAACUGUAGUUCUUGAGUGAAGUAGAGGUAAGCGGAAUUCCUAGUGUAGCGGUGAAAUGCGUAGAUAUUAGGAGGAACAUCAGUGGCGAAGGCGGCUUACUGGGCUUUUACUGACGCUGAGGCUCGAAAGCGUGGGGAGCAAACAGG